GGGCCCGCACAAGCGGUGGAGCAUGUGGUUUAAUUCGAUGCAACGCGAAGAACCUUACCAGGUCUUGACAUGUCACUUUUUUCUUGAAAAAGAAAGUUCCCGAGUGAACACAGGUGGUGCAUGGCUGUCGUCAGCUCGUGUCUUGAGAUGUUGGGUUAAGUCCCGCAACGAGCGCAACCCUUAUUUUUAGUUACCAGCGAGUAAUGUCGGGAACUCUAAAGAAACUGCCCGUGCAAACGGAGAGGAAGGUGGGGAUGACGUCAAAUCAUCACGGCCCUUAUGUCUUGGGCUACACACGUGCUACAAUGGUUAUUACAAUGAGAGGCAAACUGGUGACAGUAAGCUAAUCUAUAAAAAUAACCUCAGUUCGGAUCGGAGUCUGCAACUCGACUCUGUGAAGUUGGAAUCGCUAGUAAUCGCACAUC
rnacentral:rRNA from 1 species